GACGAAGGUGGCGAGCGUUACUCGGAAUUACUAGGCGUAAAGCGUGGGCAGGCGGUUCGGUAAGUCUGUUGUGAAAGCUCCCGGCUCAACUGGGAGAGGCCAAUGGAUACUGCCGAGCUUGAAUUGAGGAGGGGUCACUGGAAUUCCCGGUGUAGCGGUGAAAUGCGUAGAUAUCGGGAGGAACAUCUAUGGCGAAAGCAGGUGACUGGACUCAUAUUGACGCUCAUCCACGAAAGCUGGGGGAU
rnacentral:rRNA from 1 species